rnacentral:rRNA from 1 species
UCCUCCCUCUUUCUUCGUGCUUAACACAUGCAAGUCGAACGGAAAGGCCCUGCUUUUGUGGGGUGCUCGAGUGGCGAACGGGUGAGUAACACGUGAGUAACCUGCCCUUGACUUUGGGAUAACUUCAGGAAACUGGGGCUAAUACCGGAUAGGAGCUCCUGCUGCAUGGUGGGGGUUGGAAAGUUUCGGCGGUUGGGGAUGGACUCGCGGCUUAUCAGCUUGUUGGUGGGGUAGUGGCUUACCAAGGCUUUGACGGGUAGCCGGCCUGAGAGGGUGACCGGCCACAUUGGGACUGAGAUACGGACCAGACUCCUACGGGAGGCAGCAGUGGGGAAUAUUGCACAAUGGGCGGAAGCCUGAUGCAGCAACGCCGCGUGCGGGAUGACGGCCUUCGGGUUGUAAACCGCUUUCGCCUGUGACGAAGCGUGAGUGACGGUAAUGGGUAAAGAAGCACCGGCUAACUACGUG